AGGCCUUCAAGGCAGUGGGUUCUCUUCCAGCCCAGGGUAUGUCUACAUAUGUCAUCUGGGAGAUAAGGCCCGAAAUGGGGGCCUCACAACCCUGCACGUUGCCCUGCCCUACUGUGGCUGAGCUAGUAUCCAAGAUGCAAGACAAAGCCGUCUUUUCUCUCCUCCCUACUCUCCUCAAGCAGAAGGAAGGAGUCACCUUCAUGGGUGUGAGCUACACUGCUUAGGGUUGGGAGAAGCAUGGCAUAAGCACUUCCUCAGCAGUCAUUUACUAAUACAGUAGCUAUGGAAUGCUCACAGCAUUUCUGUGUGUCAGUCACUGUGCUGGGAAGUGGAUAUAAAUGGAGAAAUGUAAUAAUGAAACAGCCCUGCUCUCAAGGAGCUGAUGAUCCCAUCAGGAGGCAGACUUACAAACACUAACAUAAUGAUCAGAUAAUUGUCCGAUAGAGAUGUGGUCAAAGUGAGAGCACAGGAGAGAACAAGUAGCACUGAGGUCUGCUGAGAGGGCUUCUCAGAAAAAUGAAUAGAGUGUGCUAGAUGAACAAGCACAUGUGGGGCGGGGGUGUGCUCAGAGUGAUGGGGAGAAUGUGCAGGAGACAAGAAGCAUAGGAGAGCAGACAUCUAGAAGUUGACAGGGUUACUGAAAAGUCAUGAGUGAGGAGUGGGGAGAAGUAGGCAAUGAGGCUGGACAGUGAAAUGGGCAAAUCAUAAAUCAUCUUAUAUGGAAGACUGCCCCCUCCCCCCCAAGAAAAAAGCUGGAGUUACUGAAUGUUAGAGUGACGAUUCUGGGCACAAUGCUCAUGAGAGUGAGCAAUUAUGAGGUAUGAAAGCACAUUUCAUCAAGGGAGCUUUGAUAUUCAAACAAGUUUUAAAAACCGAAAAUAGUACUAUAAAUUAUGUAAGAUAAAUACUAUUUUUAUUAACUAUCACCUAUGCAUGAUAUAUUCCAUUUUUUUCACAUUAUCUUGAAAAAUCAAGAAAUGACUGCAUAUUGAUCAAUAUACUACUGACUCCUUAAUCAUCCAAUAAGCAUUAUAAAAGAUCCAAUAUAUUACUGUCUCCCACUAAUAUUUAUAGUGAGAUUAUAGCAUUAUAGUAUGAGAAAGCUAAAAAAGUAUGCACUCAAAUAAAAUAAUUGACAAUGCUACAUAAAAAGAUAAAAACAAAACAUUUCCAGAAAAUGAAAAUAAAAUAUCUAAGAUGCCAACCUUCAGACCUUCUUGAUAUUGUUCUAUUUUCUCUUUAAUGAUUUUCCUGUGUUCUUCAAAAAUUUCUCCCAUCCUUCCAUACCACUGGAAAACACUAUUAUUUAGCCUCAUGUCUGCUGGAGAAAAGUUGACAUACUCGAUGAGGAAGGCGAGGCAGUUUUUGGAAUCCACUAAUCUCUGUUCUAGUUCAAUCAUAUCAGUU
rnacentral:lncRNA from 10 species